CCCAAUCGCUUAUGCCACAAUAUAGAGGACGAUUUACGAAUUAAAGCCCUUUUCUUUGAUACAUUUGUAACACACGAUACAUCACCAAAAGAAGCCAAAGAUAAUUUAUAUAAACCAUCACAUAAAAUGUCAUUCCCAAUUAAACGAGAAUCAUUAAAUAACUUAACCAUUCCAUUACCAAAAUUAAAUAUGAAACCACAAGCAUCAAGUUUUGGUAUAGAAAUUAAAUUCCGUCUCAUCUACGGUACAUAAACUGUAUUUUCCAAAACAAGAUAAAAACUAGACUUUAAAAUUAACUUCACUACUCCUAUGAAUUCAACCUUCACUUGAAAUCCAUUUGCAACGCUCAAGCUUACUUCAUUCUCACUUGGCCUCCGUUUGCUUAUGAACCCCUGCAAGGAAUUCGCAAUAUGAAUACUAGCUCCCGAGUCUAACCACCAAGAAUUCAAAAGUAUAUCUACUAAAGAAGACUCAAAACAAACUAAGGCCAAAGGAAUACCCGGCGAACUCUUCUUCUUUUCCAACAAGUCUUGAACUUAAAACAAUCUUUCUGCCAGUGACUCUUAUUUUUACAGAACUUGCAUUGAUCACUUUUCUUUAUAACUCCUUUGGGACCACUAAAAUUUUUAUUCUGUUGACUUCGAUGAGACUUAUUACCCUUACGAAACUUAGGUUUAUGAUUAUGAGAAGGCCCCUUAUUCUGUGAUGGCUGAAAAGCUAAUUGCACAGUUUCACAGCGCAUCCUAUACUCUUCUUGGGCACACACUGAUAUGAGGUCAUUCAAAUUCCAUUUAUCCCGCUGAGCAUUGUAAACAACCUUAAGCUGAUUAAACUUGCUAGAAAGGCUAUUCAAAACAUGAUAGAUCAGGAAAGGCUCCGCAAUGGAAAUGUCAAGAGCCUUUAACUUAAAUGAUAUAUGUAUCAUUUUCAUGACAUACUCCCUAACACCACUUGUGCCAUCAUAUUUCAUGCUCAUCAAUUUAUCCAUCAGGUCCCCAGUUUCUGCUUUAUCGGACUCAAUAAAAUUUUCUCUUAUGGCAUCCAUAAAAUUUUUGGCAUUUUCAUUAUCAGGGAUGGCACCUAGAAUGGAAUCAGAUAUCGAUCGCUUAAUGAUUUUCAAAUAGAGUUUGUUAGCCCUUUCCCACUUUUCAUGCUCGGCUACAUAUUCAACGGUACUUUUAUCUGUGGGUUUUUCAAGCUUUUUCUCCGUUGCAAAAUCCAAGCCCAAAAGACCAAGUGCUAUUUCUACGUCUCGUUUCCAUCUCACAUAGUUAUUCCCAGUCAAAGUUUCAAUAGCAGACAAUUGAUUCGAAAGAGAUGAGGCAUUAUAAACUGUGGAAACAUAAAAUAUCACUCUUAAUAUCAUCCAAACUUAAUACAUGCAAUCAAAUAGAUGAUGAAAUAUCCAACUA
rnacentral:lncRNA from 1 species